ACGACGCUGGCGGCGUGCCUAACACAUGCAAGUCGAGACGAGAAAGUCCCUUCGGGGGCGAGUAAAGCGGCGGACGGGUGAGUAAUACAUGGAUAAUCUUCCCUCGAGCCUGGGAUAACCCUGCGAAAGUGGGGCUAAUACCGGAUAAGACCACAUGACACAUGUCACGGGGUAAAGGUGGCUUGUAUUUAUAUGAGCUAUCACUUGAGGAUGAGUCCAUGGCCUAUCAGCUAGUUGGUGAGGUAAGAGCUUACCAAGGCUAUGACGGGUAGCUGGUCUGAGAGGACGACUAGCCACACUGGGACUGAGACACGGCCCAGACUCCUACGGGAGGCAGCAGUGGGGAAUAUUGGGCAAUGGGCGAAAGCCUGACCCAGCGACGCCGCGUGGGUGAUGAAAGGCCUUCGGGUUGUAAAACCCUUUCGUGCGGAAAGAAUAGUCCUGUAGCGAAUAACUACGAGAUUUGACGGUACCGCAGGAAGAAGCACCGGCUAACUCCGUG
rnacentral:rRNA from 1 species